CAUCCGGUUUAAUCUGGUCUGAAACAUAAACCAGCAUUUUACCAGCAAGUCUCAGACAUUUAAACAUCAGGUUUUAAGAAAUUAAAUUAUUUAUCAUAGAUUCUGUUCAUGACCACUGAAUAAAAUCAUUUUCUCAGUA